rnacentral:tRNA from 1 species
GGGUCGUUAGCUUAAUUGGUGAAGCAGAGUACUUUUAAUGCUAAGACUACUGGUUCGAGUCCAGUACGACCCACCA